CUUGGGAUUGUCCCACUGGGAAUGCCCAGGGCCCCCUGAAAUCUUGGGAUUGUCCCAUUGGGACUGCCCAAAGCCCCCUGAAAUAAAUCCUGGGAUUGUCCCAGUGGGAUUGCCCCAGAGCCCUCUGAAAUAAAUCCUGGGAUUGUCCCAGUGGGAUUGCCCCAAAGCCCCCUGAAAUAAAUCCUGGGAUUGUCCCAGUGGGAUUGCCCCAAAGCCCCCUGAAAUAAAUCCUGGGAUUGUCCCAGUGGGAUUGCCCCAGAGCCCUCUGAAAUAAAUCCUGGGAUUGUCCUUCUAGAACUGCUCCAGGGCCCCUUGAAACAAAUCCUGGAAUUCUCCCACUGGGACUGCCCUAUGGCCACCUGAAAUCCUGGGGUUCCCCCAGUCAUUCUCCCAUAAAUCUGGAGUCACCUUGGCUUGGAGCUGAGCGUUGGAUUUUUGUGGGGGUUCGGGUCAUGCAAAGCCAGGAGUGGCUGCAGCUGGGAGGGAACGAGUGGGAAUUUCUCUCUGUUUCAGAUGCCCCUGGGUAAAGCAGCUCUGCACCUUUUUCCACGAGUCAGGGUUGGGGCAGCUCCCCUUUGGCACCACAGUUCACCAGGAAGUUUCCAAGUUCGUCAGUGCUUUUGAGAAGCUCUGAUUGGGACCAAAUCCUCAGGAAUAUUUUCUCCGUUGGUUUUUCACCCAAGCAGUCUCUUCCUGGAGAGUUCUUUGGGUUUGCUUUGGUUGUCACCUCCAGGAAGAGUCAGCUAAAAACUGGGACUGGCUCUGGAACAGAACAUUUGGGGAGUUUCUUGCAGUUCCACAUAUUCAGGAGUUGUUGGAAGAGGCAGCAGCUUGGAGUUGUUUUCAGAAGCUGAGAAAAGCAGGGAUGGAGCAGGAAGCAGCAGAGAAUUCUUCCUCCUGUUGGGACACAAACCUUGCAAGAGGCAAAUGCUGAGAGGGGAAAAACUUAAACCAGGCA
rnacentral:lncRNA from 1 species